CUGCCGAUAACUCCAGUGUCCUAGUGGUUAGAAUGUCCGCCUCAGAUGCGGGAGGUCGCGGGUUCGAACUCCGACUGGGCUGA